rnacentral:SRP_RNA from 1 species
GCCGGGCGUGGUGGUGCAUGCCUGUAGUCCCAGCUACUUGGGAGGCUGAGGCAGAAGAAUCGCUUGAACCCAGGAGAUGGAGGUUGCAGUGAGCUGAGAUCGCGCCAUUGCAUUCCAGCCUGGGUAACAAGAGUGAAACUCUGUCUCUA